rnacentral:piRNA from 1 species
GACACAAACAGCAAUGCUGAAAAGGUC